rnacentral:rRNA from 1 species
UUAAAUUGAAGAGUUUGAUCAUGGCUCAGAUUGAACGCUGGCGGCAGGCCUAACACAUGCAAGUCGAACGGUAACAGGAAGAAGCUUGCUUCUUUGCUGACGAGUGGCGGACGGGUGAGUA